UUCACAUCUCCUUUCAUUCCACGUCUUACGAUGAUGGACUCAGUGAUCAAGGUUCUCUUAACCGAGAGCGGCGGCGAAUCGAUCCGAUUUUAUAACCUUGCAAGGUGGACCUAGACACACGACAUAUGCAUGCCCUAUUGAGCCGCAUCUGGCAAAGGGUUCCCUUAGAGAGCGACAACAUUUGAGCCACCCAGCGACCCUCGAGUACUAAUCCCCACCGGUAUCUUCCCGGGCCAGAUGUGAGAAACUGACUAGCACACGAAUAGGAAACAGGACCGAACUCAAUUUACUAUCGCUCAAUAUGGUACUAGGUUUUACCAGUUUCAACUACCUCUUACUUCCGGUAUGUGGAUAGUACAAUUCAAACUUGAUCAACAUAGCCAACAAUGAACGGGCCUUAAUUGACACAGGCGGAGCGCAAUCAACAACAAUAACCAACACC
rnacentral:lncRNA from 1 species